GACAGAUAAACAAGACAAAAAGAAAACAUGGAACGAUACAGAGAAGAUUAGCAUGGCCCCUGGGCAAGGAUGACACACAAAUUCAUGCAGUGUUCCAUAUUUUU